GGUGAGAUGGCCGAGCGGUCUAAGGCGCCAGACUAAGGAUCAGGACGAUCGUCGUCCAGUAUAUCUGGUCCUCCGGGGCGUGGGUUCGAAUCCCACUCUCAUCA
rnacentral:tRNA from 1 species